UACGGAGGGUGCAAGCGUUAUCCGGAUUCACUGGGUUUAAAGGGUGCGUAGGCGGACAAGUAAGUCAGUGGUGAAAUCUCCGGGCUUAACCCGGAAACUGCCGUUGAUACUAUUUGUCUUGAAUAUCGUGGAGGUGAGCGGAAUAUGUCAUGUAGCGGUGAAAUGCUUAGAUAUGACAUAGAACACCGAUUGCGAAGGCAGCUUGCUACACGAUUAUUGACGCUGAGGCACGAAAGCGUGGGGAUCAAACAGG
rnacentral:rRNA from 1 species